rnacentral:rRNA from 1 species
GAUGAACGCUGGCGGCGUGCUUAACACAUGCAAGUCGAACGGAAAGGCCCUGCUUUUGUGGGGUGCUCGAGUGCCGAACGGGUGAGUAACACGCGAGUAACCUGCCCUUGUCUUUGGGAUAACUUCAGGGAACUGGGGCUAAUACCGGAUAUGAGCUCCUGCUGCAUGGUGGGGGUUGGAAAGUUUCGGCGGUUGGGGAUGGACUCGCGGCUUAUCAGCUUGUUGGUGGGGUAGUGGCUUACCAAGGUUUUGACGGGUAGCCGGCCUGAGAGGGUGACCGGCCACAUUUGGACUGAGAGACGGAGCAGACGGCUACGGGAGGCAGCAGUGGGGAAUAUUGCGGAAUGGGGGGAAGCCUGAUGCAGCAACGCCGCGUGCGGGAUGACGGCUUUCGGGGUGUAAACCGCUUUCGCCUGUGACGAAGAGUGAGUGACGGUAAUGGGUAAAGAAGCACCGGCUAACUACGUG